UACAGAGGUCUCAAGCGUUGUUCGGAUUCAUUGGGCGUAAAGGGUGCGUAGGUGGCGGGGUAAGUCAGGUGUGAAAUUUCGGAGCUUAACUCCGAAACUGCAUUUGAUACUGCCUUGCUUGAGGACUGGAGAGGAGACUGGAAUUCACGGUGUAGCAGUGAAAUGCGUAGAUAUCGUGAGGAACACCAGUGGCGAAGGCGGUUGCCUGGGGCUUUGCUGACGCUGAUGCGCGAAAGCGUGGGGGAGCGAAUCCGG
rnacentral:rRNA from 1 species